CCAGACUCCUACGGGAGGCAGCAGUGAGGAAUAUUGGUCAAUGGGCGCGAGCCUGAACCAGCCAAGUCGCGUGAGGGAUGACGGCCCUACGGGUUGUAAACCUCUUUUGCCGGGGAGCAACGGGCGCCACGUGUGGCGCCACUGAGAGUACCCGGAGAAAAAGCAUCGGCUAACUCCGUGCCAGCAGCCGCGGUAAUACGGAGGAUCCGAGCGUUAUCCGGAUUUAUUGGGUUUAAAGGGUGCGUAGGCGGUUUGAUAAGUUAGAGGUGAAAUGUCGGGGCCCAACCCCGAAACUGCCUCUAAUACUGUUGGACUAGAGAAUAGUUGCGGUAGGCGGAAUGUAUGGUGUAGCGGUGAAAUGCUUAGAGAUCAUACAGAACACCGAUUGCGAAGGCAGCUUACCAAACUAUAUCUGACGUUGAGGCACGAAAGCGUGGGUAGCAAACAGGAUUAGAUACCCCGGUACCA
rnacentral:rRNA from 1 species